UGAAAUCAAUAAAAAAAUUUUAAAGAAAGAAUAAGAAUAAGAAUUCUGCAGUGCAAUGAACUUCUCAUUCUUUUUUAAGUGUUAAAAUAUAGACUAUUAAAUAACAAAGCCAAAGCAGAAUGCAUAGAAAAAGCAUUUUAGGGAAGUAUUUAAAUAUUUUCUUAUUAGACAUCUCAAAAGUAUGGACUCUCCGCGGUGGUGACUUUGGAUAAUGACGAGAGCUCUGUUCCUCCACUCCGACAGUUAGAGAGCCACAGGGCAAAAAGCAAGGCUCACUCACUUUGUACUGGGCGAACUAAACCUUGAGGGAAAGAGGGAAGGGGGUAGUUAAACUAGGACCUGGGGUAGAAUUUAGUGGCCUUGAUUUCUCGUUCACAGUGAGUUUCUCACUGUAAGGUAAUGGAGUUCGUCUCUUCCUCCCAUCCCCCCGCCACCUCCUUAAUCAAGGAGCAUCUGGGGACUCCAUGGGCCAGUUGCUUUGGAGACCAGGCUUACCACAGCAUGGAGAGAUUCAAUUUCCACUUGCAGGUGGUGCCACUGGCGCCGGGCUUCCUUGAGUUCUGCUUGAGCUGCCCUUAAAGCCUCUUCAUCUUUGUCCAUCUUUUUGCUCAGAUCUUCCUCCAGCUAGAAGAGAGCCAACAACACCAAUAACAGGAAAAGAAGGGGCACUCUUGAGAGUGAGGUGUUUGAGAGCAAUGAUAGAAAAAUGGCGUGGGAAUCGAAUCAUUGUUUUCUUUAAGUUGUUGGAUUGUACGUGUAUGCUUUAGUGCUUCGUUACGAAUCAUUUAAAUGUCUGAGCAAGCCCAUUGCACUCUCAGCCUCGGUUUUUUCAGAUGUAAACGAACCUCAAAAAUCUCUUCCUGCAGUGGCAGUCUAUGAAAUGCAGGAAAAAAACACACCCAUUUAAUACAGAGUAACAGUUUACAGGACCUACUUUUGAGGCCUCUGAUUCUUAACUUUCCAGAAUUUAUGGCAUUAAUAAGGAAUAACGAUUGAAAUUAGCUACUAUUUCCCCCAUAUUUUCUUGUUGAUUGCUUUAUCAAAGCAGAUAAACUGUUAUAUAACCUAAAUUAAUCAAGUAUUGGACUGGAUACAUAGAUAGGUAAUAAAUAUUGCUGGAAAGUAUAUUAUGAAUAAUUUAGAUCAGUUAUCACAGGCAUUAAAAACUCUAAAAUAGAUUUCAGUAUUAAGCUCAGCCACCAUUGAUUUAUCUUUUUUAAUAUGGUCUUUUAGAAGGCAUGCUAAUUUUGUCUAUCUACAGUAGCAGCAAAAAAAAUGACUUCCUUAAAAAUUGUUUUCUAAAUGUCCUCAUACAAAAUAACAAACGGAUUAUUGUAUAGUUAGCUUUAAAUGUUCUUAUACUGAUGUUGAAAGUCAAUGAAAGUCUCUUUUGACUGGAUUCUGAACAUUUGGCCCCACGAGCAGUAGGAGCAGUGCAUGAAAUUGGUUGUAAUAUUUUUAAGCAAAAGUUACUACCUUUUUAAGUUUUUAUAAAAAUGCAUUUCAAAAUUAAAAAAAUGUAAUAUGAUGGUGCAACAGAUUUUAUAAAGAAGGAAACACUGCAGAACAUGCAAGUGUGUAAUGAAGUUUAGGGCAAAGUAUCAUAUACCAUUUAUAUGUUUCUUUUGAUUUGUUGUUCUCAGUAUUGUUGGCAAAAGCAAGCAGCAUCAGAGCAGCUACGAAAGAAAGUGUUGAGCAUUUAGGAGCUAGGAGUGCAUGAAAACGAUGGUAUUCGUUGGUCUUUUGGAUUUUGGGAUGGACAGCGAAGCUUGGAUAGUAGCUAGAUUCUGAAGAUGGCCUGCAAUGGACCACCCGUCCCCUAAUGGAUGUCUUUGUGUGGUGGCCUUCCACAUUGCAUCUGGGCUGACCUAUGCCCGUAGAAGGUAGCAGAAGUGUCAGUUUUAGGCCUAAGCCUUAAGAAGUCCUGACACCUUGCACUUCUAUGCUUUUGGAGCAGCAUGUAGGAAAUCUGCAUACUCUGUUGUUGGAGGGAUCCUAUAGAGAGGCCAGACGGAGAUACCCCGAGGCUGCAUGGAGAGAGAGAAACAUUUGUCUCUGCUGAGCCAGCCUUUCAAAAACCCUGAGGUGCCAGGUCCAUGAAUGAGCCACCUUGGAUGACCCAGCCCAGUUGUGCCCCAAGAUGAUUGCAGACUCAGCCAAUGUCACGCACAGCUGAAGCCACCCCCAAUGAACCUAGGCAAGCCACAGAAUCGUGAGAGGGAACACAAUGCUUUCUUUAAGUUUUGGGGUAGUUUUUGUAUAGUAAUAAGUAACUGAGUAGCUCCCUAUUGUGUAAUAAUUAAACAGGCUUUCUUGCAUUUAUUUUAGCUGAUUCUGAAUUCUUUGAAAACAAUCCCCUAAGGUGAACGAACUAUUCCAACAGUUAAAUAUCCCAGUGACUCUGCUUAAUCCAGGAUACCGAUCAUUCUUUAUGAAGACUGGCAAUGUUAUCCAGAGUAGAUGCUGCAUUGAAAAGGAAAUACUGUACCUCAGAGAGGCCGGGACAGGAAUUGGCUAGACAUGGAUUGUCUCCUUAUCCUGGAGGGUGUCUGUCUGUAUGAAAUCAUUACCUGGAUCCUUGUUGAGAGCACGGUCUCUAUCUGAUUUCUGGUGAGGAGCUGUUCAUAGUUUGCCCUGAUCUCAUUGAGUAGCUGGGACAGCUCCAUUCUUUUCCCAUCCUCCACCUUGGCUAACUGAACCUUAUCGAUAGGAUGAGUCGCUGCAGCAGCAGCAGCAGCGCUGCUCUGUCUGCCUCCCAGCCCAGAGCCCAGUGGAGCCUUAAAGACACAGAGCUCCUUUUUUUCACAAGCCAUGGAAAUUCCCGUGUUCCUAUUUAAUUAUGCAAAUAUUGGGUAAACCCUUUUCUCCUGUUGUUGGUAUAGUAGAAAUGUCAGAAAAACAACAACAACAAAAAUGAAAACAUCCUCAGUAUUUCUGAACUGGUUCUCUGUAAAACUGAGUACUUUUUUGGGGAGAGAAAAAAAGGAAAGGUAAUGUAUCUCAUGGGA